CCGUCAGGAUCCUUAGUACGGCGAGUGAACCGGGAUGAGCUCAAAUUUGAAAUCUGGCGUCUUUCAGGCGUCCGAGUUGUAAUCUAUAGAGGCGUUUUCCGCGCCGGACCGCGUCCAAGUCUCUUGGAAUAGAGUAUCAAAGAGGGUGACAAUCCCGUACUUGACGCGACAACCGGUGCUCUGUGAUACGUUCUCAAUGAGUCGAGUUGUUUGGGAAUGCAGCUCUAAAUGGGUGGUAAAUUCCAUCUAAGGCUAAAUAUUGGCGAGAGACCGAUAGCGAACAAGUACCGUGAGGGAAAGAUGAAAAGCACUUUGGAAAGAGAGUUAAACAGCACGUGAAAUUGUUAAAAGGGAAACGAUUGAAGUCAGUCGUGUGGGAAGUAUUCAGCCGUCUCUGGCGGUGUAUUUGCUUCUCACGGGUCAACAUCAGUUUGAUCCGGUAGAAAAAGGCGGGAAGAAGGUGGCACCCUCGGGUGUGUUAUAGCUUCCUGUCAUAUGUGCCGGACCAGACUGAGGAACGCAGCGUUGCAGCAAUGCCGGGGUUCGCCCACGUACAAGCUAGGAUGUGACAUAAAUCUA
rnacentral:rRNA from 1 species